rnacentral:rRNA from 1 species
GCGCAAUGGGCGAAAGCCUGACGCAGCAACGCCGCGUGCAGGAUGAAGGCCUUCGGGUUGUAAACCGCUUUCAGCAGGGACGAAACUGACGGUACCUGCAGAAGAAGCCCCGGCCAACUACGUGCCAGCAGCCGCGGUAACACGUAGGGGGCGAGCGUUGUCCGGAUUUAUUGGGCGUAAAGAGCUCGUAGGCGGUUUCGUAAGUCGGGUGUGAAAACCCCAGGCUCAACCUGGGGACGCCACCCGAGACUGCGAUGACUAGAGUCCGGUAGGGGAGCGUGGAAUUCCUGGUGUAGCGGUGAAAUGCGCAGAUAUCAGGAGGAACACCAACGGCGAAGGCAGCGCUCUGGGCCGGAACUGACGCUGAGGAGCGAAAGCGUGGGUAGCGAACAGGAUUAGAUACCCUGGUAGUCCACGCCGUAAACGUUGGGCACUAGGUGUGGGAUCUUUCCAACGGAUUCCGUGCCGUAGCUAACGCAUUAAGUGCCCCGCCUGGGGAGUACGGCCGCAAGGCUA